rnacentral:rRNA from 1 species
GCUAAUACAUGCAAGUCGAACGAUACUACCGGGCUUGCUCGGUAGGAAGGUGGCGCACGGGUGCGUAACGCGUAUGCAACCUACCUUAAUCAGGGGGAUAGCCCGAAGAAAUUCGGAUUAAUACCGCAUAAAAACACAGGAUAGCAUUAUCCAAUGUUCAAAUAUUUAUAGGAUUAAGAUGGGCAUGCGUGUCAUUAGCUAGUUGGCGGGGUAACGGCCCACCAAGGCGACGAUGACUAGGGGAUCUGAGAGGAUGACCCCCCACACUGGUACUGAGACACGGACCAGACUCCUACGGGAGGCAGCAGUAAGGAAUAUUGGUCAAUGGAGGGAACUCUGAACCAGCCAUGCCGCGUGCAGGAAGACGGCCCUCUGGGUUGUAAACUGCUUUUAUUCGGGAAUAAACCUACUUACGUGUAAGUAGCUGAAUGUACCGAAGGAAUAAGGAUCGGCUAACUCCGUGCCAGCAGCCGCGGUAAUACGGAGGAUCCAAGCGUUAUCCGGAUUUAUUGGGUUUAAAGGGUGCGUAGGCGGCCUAUUAAGUCAGGGGUGAAAGACGG